rnacentral:lncRNA from 10 species
CUCCAGGCCUCUUAGGCACUGGGAGAACUUCCAUUCUCAUGGAAGAUGGAGACUUUCUUUCCAUGUAGCCUCACCUACCACCCUCAUGCCAUCCUAGAAUGAAACUGCAGGCGGAGAGAACUGGAGCCUGGAGAAGUAAUGGGUUUUGCCCAAGGAUCUGUGGCCCUUCAGUGACAGGCAGGGACUUGAAACCACAGUGCCAGCCCAAGUACUCUGAGCCUCCCAGGCUAUCCUCUUUGUGUGUCAUAACAUGUGCCAUAUUUUCUUCAGGGUUUGGCCUAGAAGGAUUUUGACAUUUUGAGCAUGAGGAUGAGGGCCUUUGGAAUGUCACCGUACCUACUCUGAGAGAAAGCCAAUUUUCCCUUAGUUCAGUACUUGCAAAUAGCAAAGUUAAUUAAUCCCCUGUAAAUAAACAUUUGCAAACUUCAGCUCAAUAUAGCACUAACCAGGAAUGCUUCCAAAUGUGUGCUGAGAUUAGAUGAUUA